UUUGUUCAUCAUCCUCUCUUGCAAAACAAACAGGCAAACAAAAAGAAAUCAUCACUGUGGAACUGACAUAUACAUAGUUUAGAGUAUUGUGGCAGAGCACAGGGUGUGUCUGCCACUUUAAGGGCCUGGAGCUGGCAGCCUCCAGGUGCCUGAUUAGGGCAGCCAUUUUGGAGACAGCGGCUGCCUAUUUAAACAGGGCAGUUUGGCUGCAGGAGGCCAGGCAGUAACAUUGCCUGGUCGGAGGGCUGCUGAGAACAACCCGGAGCCUCUAUCACUUAGCUCUGGAUGUGUUCAUCAGAAUACUCAUCAAUUAUCUUCUUGUACUACAGACACCAAGAUGGCCUGUGAGAGAAUGACUUCACUGGAAGAGGCUUUCCCACAUGGAUAUGUCAACAGUAUAUACCUGGAUAAGGCGAUGAGAUCAUACAGAGUUUCCAGAAGGGAACUGAAAAUGGGAAGAUAACUAGUAAAUGUCAUCUAUUGUCAAAUGUCAAAGGUACAAUCAAAACUAGAAAACAGAAAUACAGAAAAUGUGAACUCUUUGCCUGGUUUUUAUAUCCUGAAAUGUUUUUCUUGAGACAGCCAAGUCCUCCUGCCCCCACUGUAGUUGUGCAAAGCCCAGAAUAAACUGGAAGCACUGUGAGUAAAGGGGUAGGGAUGAAGAGACCUCACUUUUGUAUAGAAGCAUGGUGGUGGGGUUGUGAAUGGAUUGAGGAACAGCAUGAAUCCCAAACUUCCUUGCACCUACUAGUUUGGGUCAGGGAGUGGCGAGAGACACAUGGGUGUACACCUGUCACACCCCUGUACCCCGAAGACCCCCAGCGAUCCCCAGCAGCUGCAGAGGACCCCGCCUGACCCUCAGCAGAGCCGGAGGUGAGCGGGGCCUGUGGUGGGAGGGAUUAGCCAGCUGCAGGGAGGCAGCUGAGAGGAGCUGAGGAAGGGCUCACCCCACCCCUGCUCCUACUUGACCCAGCCCCCCAGGGAGAGAGAGGAGGGGAAAGGGUACUCACCAGUCCCUUUCUAGUGGGGGAGGGUCUCCCAAGUCCUGGGUAGGGUCCCCGCUAGCCUGGGACCAGUGUGGUGUUAGUGGCGGGCCCACUGAGCAUGCACGCAGUUUAAAAGCACCUGCCAAUGGAAAAAAGCUGCAGUUUGGGUCAGGGAGUGGCGAGAGGUGCACGGGAGUAAGCCCGUUGCACCAUCCACACUCCGAAGACACCCAGUGAGCCACAGCAGCUGCAGCGGACCCCGCCUAACCCCCAGUAGAGCUGGAGGUGAGUGGGGCCUGUGGUGGGAGGGACUAGCUAUUUGCAGGGAGGCAGCUGAGAGGAGCCAAGGAGGGGCUCGCCCUGACCAGAUCCUACUUCACCCAGCCCCCCAGGGUGCUGCAUGACCAGAGCCGCAUGAACAGGAUGCGCAAACAGGCAUGCUUGUCUGCCCAGUGCAUGAGUUAGCAUGGGAGUUUGUGCAGGAGGGUGAGGAGGAGGGCCUGAGGCUCCAGGCACUGAGCUGUAGCCAAGGGUCUGCACAGUAGUAGCCAGACUACUACAAGGACCAUGGUGGGUGGGACACGUUGCACCCCGAGGCUCCACCCUGCACCUGGACUUCCCUGCUCUGACACCACUCGGGUCUCCACCCAAAUGGAGCCCAUGGUUCUGGCCUAUACUCAAAUGGAGCCUGCGGUCCCUGCCCCCACCCAGGUGGGACUCUUGGCCCUGGCCUCCUCUCAGAUGGAGCCCCUGGCUCCAUGUGGAGGCUGCCUAGCAAGACUGCAGCCAGCUGCAUUUGGGGGCACUGAUACCUCCCCUUGUGGGGUGUGCUCAAUGGUGGAGGCUCAGGAGUGCUAGAAUAGGGAACUCCAGGCAAUGGUCCAGUGACUGCGCUCCCUUAGAGACGCGGAGCAGGAGCUGGACUCUUACCUUCAGGCUCUCCACCUGAUGGCUGAUGACAGCAUGGCAGAACCAAGGAACCCCCACAAAUUCCAGCCUGGAGUUGCCUGGACGAUGGUUGUCUCCAGCCCAAAGAGGUGCAGCACCAGGGUUACCACUUCCCUGGAGCUGCAUAACCAUUUUGCACCCCUCACAUCAACUGAUCCAGGCAUACUACUGGCUCCAGCAUGUGAGGAUGGAGGGCCACCAGCACCUGUGCCCAGAAGAAGAUGCAGAGUUAUCGUGGUGGGUGACUCCCUCCUUAGGGAGACAGAGGGAGCAAUCUGUCACCCUGACCCCUUAGCCCGUGAGGUCUGCUGCUUGCCUGGACCUCAUGUCCGUGAUAUGAUGGAGAGUUCUGUUUAAACUAAGACUGCCGGGGGAUGGGUGGUCUAUUAACAGUUCUAGCCCAGGUCCUGUCAGCCACAGUACCAAUAACUUGGGCAGCCCAAGGGAACCUGCUCUGAUGACAGCCCAAGAAAAGUCCCCCCUUGACCCAUAUGGGAAGCAUGGGUCGUCUCAUGGCAGACUCAACUGCCUAUACACAAAUGCCAGGGAACUGGGAAACAAGCAAGAGAAACUGGCCCUUCUCUUAUGUGAAAAUGACUAUGACCUUGUAGGGAUAACAGAGACAUGGUGGGACUCUACCUAUGAUUGGUCUGUUGCUUUGAAAGGUUAUACCGUAUACAGGAGAGACCAUCUUGGGAAGAGAGGUAGGGGUGUUGCUCUCUACGUCAAGGAUCAGUUCACUUCCCUGCAAAUUGAGUUUUCUAACCCUGCAAAAUGAGUUUGACCGCAGGGUCAAAAUACAGGGAGAACAUGGGGAGGGUGACAUACUUGUGGGAGUAUACUAUAGACCUCCCCACCAAGAGGAAGAACUUGAUUGGGAAUUCAAUAGGGAACUGGUUGAGGCAGCACACUCUUGAUGCAUGAUUGUCAUGGGGGACUUCAGCUUCCCUGACAUCUCUUGGGAAGAAUGCGUGGCCAAAUCAGACAGGUCACACAGUUUUCUUGCUUGCAUUGAUGACCUCUACCUAACACAGGAAGUCUAUGGGCCAACUAGGGGAGAGGCAUUGCUUCAUCUGGUCCUGGCCAAAGGGGAGGAGCUGGUGAGCAAUCUGAGGACUGAGGGGAAGCUUGGUGACAGCGACCAUGAUUUGGUCACCUUCUUAGUUCACUGAAGAGCAGGCAAAUCCCUCAGUAAACUGAAAUCCUUAACUUUGGGAAUGCUGACUUUUGCAAACUCAGAGAUUUGGUAAGUCAGGCAAUUAGGGGCCAUAUCCCCCUAGAUAAGGGAGUACAUGAGGAAUGGUCAUCUCUUAAGAACAUAAUCCUUGAGGCACAGGGGCAAGCCAUUCUAUCUUGCCUGAAAUUUAAUCAAUGGGCAAGGAAGCCCCCUUGGAUGAACAAGGAACUGCUGGACCUCAUUCAACUCAAAAGAGAAGCCUACUCCAGGUGGAAAAUGGGAAGCAUCACCAAAGAGGUCUACUCAGCACUCGCCCUCACCUGUAGGGAGUGGUCCAGAAAAGCCAAGGCACAAACUGAACUCAGGUUAGCUUUGGGGAUCAAGGACAACAAAACAUACUUCUUCAGAUAUGUGGGAAGUUGAAAAAAGAAUAAAGAUAGCAUUGGGCCCCUGCAGGAUCAAACAGGGCAGCUGACAUCUGAAGCCCAAGAAAAGGCCAAUCUUCUACAUGACUUUUUUGCAUCAGUUUUUCACCCUCCCAAGGGGAUCACACUGUCAGAAAGGACACGAUCCAGCCUGGGAGCAGGUGGUGGGUCCAUAAUUGAUGUGGAUCAGGUGAGGGAACACCUUGAGAAUCUAAACAUUCACAAGUCAUAGAUUCAUAGAUUCAUAGGUGUUAGGGUCGGAAGGGACCUCAAUAGAUCAUCGAGUCCGACCCCCUGCAUAAGCAGGAAAGAGUGCUGGGUCUAGAUGACCCCAGCUAGAUGCCUAUCUAACCUCCUCUUGAAGGUUAGAUCUGCGGGCCCUGACAGAAUGCACUUGGGAGUCUUGAAAGAGCUGGCAGAAAUUAUUGCACCCCCCCCCCCCCUUGGCAAA